rnacentral:lncRNA from 1 species
ACCACCCACAGGUUUGUGCAGAAGUGCUGGGUCCCUUUCCCACGCCCAGACUAGGCAGAGCUGGGAUGAGAGAUUUGAUACAGAUCUUGCCACAGCCUGUGGCAAGGGCACUCCUCUCUCUGUGGCAGACUCCAGAUUGCACUCUGGUGUGGGAAAUCAGGCAUGAGCUCCCAGCAAAGACUGAAAGAAAGCAGCAUUCAAGUGGGGGCAAAUGCUCGGAGAGCAUGUCCUGAGCCCUCGGAGCAGCCCCUGAAGGUGAGAGUGGGGUGCUUUAUUUCUGAGAGCAAUUUUGCCUUAUGGGCUCGCGCACGUCACCAAAGCUUCAUUUUGCU